rnacentral:misc_RNA from 1 species
GUGCAUACCGGUUCACAGGCCCAAGCUCGAGAAGCGUUCUUUCUCUUCUCACCCUUUCCCAGUCCUGGAUUCGCUCUGUAACGCUUACCCCCGAAUCUGGAUUCUCAAAGUUGAGGCCUGAAUGGGAUAAGAUAUUGUUGGAAGAGAAGCACAAAGCAAUGCCGUUCAACAGCCUUGCUGUUAUGUAAGCACCCACUUCUUCACUGUCUUGGGGUUUUCACAUUACACUUGGAUCUUCACUUUGCUCUAUCAUCAAAUGGCGAUUCAAUGGUUAUGAAUUUUGUUUUCACUCGCUGUUAUUGGUUUAGGCAAACGUGGGAAUUGUUAAAAGAAAUGAUGGGUCUCAUUUCAUGGUGAUGAAUUCGGUUUCAUAGUGUGUGCUUCAUUUGACUGCUAUUGGUGUGGGCGAAUGUGGGUAUUGUAAAAUGAAAUCAUGGGUCUCAAUUUUUUUAAGGAUGCAAUAGCUGUGUAUAGAACUUUUAGCACUAAAACUAGUAGAAUUAGCAAAACUACGAGACGUGCUCAAAGUGGUGGUAACAAGAACAAGAAGAAAAGCCGUGAAUCUAAAAUUAAAUGGACUGAGGAGCAGAAUGAUGUAUUGAAUCAUGUUCGCUGUGGCUUGUCCGUGUUUAUUACCGGCUCUGCAGGCACUGGAAAGUCAGUUUUGCUUAAGCGUAUUAUCGAUUUUUUGAAAAAGGUUCAUGGCUCAUCUGGGGUUUUUGUCACGGCCUCCACUGGAGUUGCUGCAUGUGCUCUUAAUGGGCGAACACUUCACUCUUUUGCUGGCAUUGGAAUUGGAAAUGAUGAUUAUGGAAAUUUACUAGAGAGGGUUUUAAUGAGUAGCCGUGCUUGCAAUAGAUGGAGAAAGGUGAAUGCAUUAAUUAUAGAUGAAAUUAGUGUGAUUUCUGCAAAUAUGUUUGAGAAUCUUGAAUCCAUUGCGAGAGAGAUGCGGGGAUCACAAGAGGUAUGGGGUGGAAUACAGCUUAUCGUUAGUGGAGAUUUCUUUCAGUUACCUCCAGUUUCUGAUAAAUGCAAUUCAUCCGGCAAAGAGUUUGCCUUUGAGGCUGACUGUUGGGAUGCAAGCUUUGACGUGCAAGUUGAACUCACAGAGGUUUUUAGGCAAUCAGAUGCUGAACAAAUCAAGUUACUUCAGCGUACAAGGAAAGGGAUGAUUUAUGCUGAAGACUUGCAGAUUUUAGAACAAUGUUGCUCCAGUAAUGAGCCUGAUUCUUCAGUUGUAAGUUUCUAUCCUAGGAAUGAGGAUGUAAAUAGAGUGAAUGGGGAGAGACUGAGAAGCUUGGGUGAGAAAGUUGUGGUUUAUAAAGCUGCUGAUGGUGGCCUAGAUAAUCAGAGAGCAGAACUCAAACAGGGUAUUGCACCUGACCAACUUGAGCUUUGUAAUGGUGCAAGGGUGAUGCUGAUCAAGAAUUUGAAUGUUUGGCGUAACCUUUGUAAUGGUGCUACGGGUACAGUCACAGGAUUUGUUGAGCCAGAGGAUAAAUACGUUCUACACCUAUCCCCUGAUAAACUGUUGCCUGUUGUCAAAUUUGAUUCAGGGCCGGAAAUGGUUGUUGAACCACAAGUAUGGGAGAUUUUAGAGGGAGGAUUAACAGUGGCUUGGAGAUCUCAAAUUCCUCUUCACUUAGCUUGGGCUCAAAGUGUACACAAAAGCCAGGGCAUGACCCUUGACCGCCUUCACACUGAUCUAUCUAGGUCAUUUGGCUAUGGAAUGGUGUAUGUGAUACUAUCCCGUGUGAGGACCUUGAAAGGCCUUUAUUUAUCAGGUUUCAAUCCAUCAAUGAUUAAGGCACACCCAAAGGUUUUACAUUUCUAUGAAAGUUUAGCUGGUGAAGAACAGUGCAAGGAAGACGAAAACAACAGCAAGAUUCUUGAUCAUUCAGAUAAAUCAAGCAUUGCAUUUGCAGGCAAAAAGUGCAAGUUCUCUCUUUCAGAAUUUUUGUUAUCACGCCAACAUGGGAAAUAGAAUUUGCUUGAUUGGGCUGUAACUUAGGUACUAUCCAGCACAUUCUUCAUUUGAGAUUCUUCUAUCAUUUGAGAUUCUUCUACUGAUUUCUUUUCCUUAUGACUCGUUUAGGGUCAGGAUUGGGAGGUUAAAAAAGUAUUUAAUUUUUUU